rnacentral:rRNA from 1 species
GACGAACGCUGGCGGCAUGCCUAAUACAUGCAAGUCGAACGAUGAUGUUCUCUGCUUGCGGAGUAUUGAAGAGUCGCGAACGGGUGAGCAACACGUGUGGAACCUGCUCAUGUGAGGGGGAUGACAUGCGGAAACGGACGCUAAUACCGCAUAAUGCUUUGCACCGCCUGGUGCAGUGACGAAAGACGGCUUUUGCUGUUACACAUGGAUGGCCCCGGGCUGUAUGUGCUAGAUUGUGGGGUAAUGGCUUACCCAGGCUGUGAUACGUAGCCGACCUGCGGGAGUGGUCGGCCACCUGGGAGCUGGGACACGGCCCAGACGACUACGGGAGGCAGCAGUAGGGUACGGUAGACAGUGGGCGAGAGCCUGAUGGAGCAAUGCCGCGCGAAUGACGGAGGUCUUCGGAGCGGAAAGUUCUGUUAUUAGAGAAGAACAAGUCUAGGCAUAACUGUCUUGAGUUUGACGGUACCUAACCAGAAAGCCACGGCUAACUACGUG